CUCAAUAAUGGCACCAGUGCCGCCCCUAACAGUCAGAAUAUCGGCCACCUUCAAGAUGACGUCUUUAGGCGAAGUCCAGCCGCUGAUCUUGCCAGUGAGGUUGACACCAAUAACCUUGGGGCACUUCAGCUCCCAGGCGAUGUCAGCCAUGACGUCGACGGCAUCAGCGCCGCCCACACCAAUGCAAAGGCCACCAAGACCACCGCCAUUGGGCGUGUGAGAGUCAGUACCGAUCAUCAGCAGACCGGGGAAGGCAUAAUUC